CUCGGACAUAACCGGGAAGAUUGGUGUCCCGAAGGACAAGUUCCAGCUGCCCAAGGGCUGGCACUGGGAUGGCGACUGGGCGGUGGAGCCACAGAGGAGGCUGCUGCUGGAUACUGAGACCAACCACAGUGAGGUGCUGGAGGAGGUGUACGAGAACGAGAGCCGGCAGCCAGGGGAAGAGUGGGCCCCAGCCCCUUCUCCCAACCCCGAUGCGGGCGGAGCCGCCGUCUCCCCAAAGGAAGGGAUCGUGUGCCCUAAGGGCUGGCACUUCGAGGAAGGCUG
rnacentral:lncRNA from 1 species